rnacentral:lncRNA from 1 species
GUUUUAAGGUAGUGAGCACAAACUAUCAGGAUAGAUAUUUUGUCAAUGCUUAUAAUGAACGAUGUGGUGGGUAAAUUGCUUUGUUGGAAACUAAGACUCGCUUGAGAAUCAACUAUCUCAAGAAGUGCUGCUAUCAGACGUCACCUCUGCCCAAACCAUAUCCAACAGUCGGAGAAGGAAGGUACGAGUGUGAUUUCUGCUGAAUCAUAAACUUCCUGGAAGUAGGAUAAAGAUUGUGAAAGAACUGAGUCAAUGGUAACUGGUAAGUCAUAGUCUUCUAAAAGCAAAACAAUAGUUGAAUCAGGUGUGUUGAUAUCAGUUAACGCGUCCGGGAGCGGAAUCCGAGUUGAUAGGCCCAGCAUAUGGCUGAAUGCUUGUAAGUGAGCUGUUAAGGAAAAAGGGAAAAUGACUUAGAUCAGCAAUAGAAAGAAGCAGAGCAUGUAAAGUCUUAUGUCACCAAAAGGAUGAAACAGAGAGUGAGAGCUUUCCGGAAGCAGCGAUAGCCAGAAUCUACAUGGUAUCGCAACAAAAUACAUCAUGUGGAUAAAUAAUAGUGGAAAAUACAGUGAUUGUAAGAAACUAGUCAACUCUAUAGACAAAAAUACAAGUUAUGACAAACUUACCAAUGAUCAAGAUAAGAGGUUUCCGUGUGAAUUGCGUUUAAAGGUUUUGAACCUGAAAAGGAUAUUACUAGUAACAAAGUACGACAAGAAAGUUUGGGAAACAUAUACAAAACAUUGGAAGUCUUUCC